UACGUAGGCAGCGAGCGUUGUUCGGAGUUACUGGGCGUAAAGGGUGUGUAGGCGGUUAUUUAAGUUUGGUGUGAAAUCUCCCGGCUCAACUGGGAGGGUGCGCCGAAUACUGAGUGACUAGAGUGCGGGAGAGGAAAGUGGAAUUCCUGGUGUAGCGGUGAAAUGCGUAGAUAUCAGGAGGAACACCGGUGGUGUAGACGGCUUUCUGGACCGUAACUGACGCUGAGACACGAAAGCGUGGGUAGCAAACAGG
rnacentral:rRNA from 1 species